CUUGCUGAAACAAGUGUGCUUGCUGUGAAAGUACAAAUGUUUGAGAACCACUGAGUUAGCAUUAAAAAAAAUUCUGAUCCACUCACUACACAUACAUCCCACUACUGCAACAUCUUAAAAAGAUACGUUAACUGCCAACAUUUGUGAAAUACUGCAGCUAUUUUACUAAAAUAUUCCUCUCACCAGUAAAAUAAUCCACCGCUAUACAAUCCUUUUACAAACACUACUUGGCAAGCUCUUAGCACCAAACACAACUGUUUAAGUCUUCAGCAAACUGGAUUUCUAACACAGGUAUUAUAUUAAAUCACAGAGAUUUUUGCAAGCGGUUGACAAGUGUGAAAUAAUUACAUCACAAAAAAAAUUACUUAACGGCAUAUGCCCUCCCCCAGUAAACAAAGUUCUUUGCUACAGUAAAUGUUUCACAUAGGAACCUGUCUAAGGGUGUGAAAAGAGUUGCCAAUUGCUCUGUACGUUAAUAUGCAUUACAAAUAGUUAUUCACAUUACAAUAUAAAACCACAGUGCACAUGUGCUAAUUCCUGCAGAGGGCUGCUACCUGGAUGCUGCUUUUUAAAACCAAAAUUUACUCUACUAGACUGAAGGACAGAUGAUUACUUUAUCUUGAGAUAACACUUCUGCUGUCAGACAUGCAAGAUCGACUAUCAUGCUGCAACUGGAACCACAAGAAAAAACAACUGUUUGCUAUGUGACAAGUUUAAGAUGAAGGGCAAAGCAAGACUCACACAACAUGACUCCAUAAUAAUUUCUUAUUAGGAAGUACUAUUCCCCCCUCUUGUGGAAAACUACAUCCCCUGCCUGUGGAUGACUCAGGGUUGUAUGAUGAAGGAGGCUGUUGUCUGUGGGACCCCUGCCUCACAGAACUGGAAGCAGUAGAGUGAAUGUGGCAGGGGAUUGCAGGAAGAGGAAGAAAAGUCUCAUGGUUAAGGCAGUUGAAUGCUGUCCUGGAAAAGUGGAUUCCAUAUUUGCCUUUGCCACAGAGUUCCUCUGUCACUUAAACCAAGCUUUCCGUAAGUGGCCACUAACUGUUUUCUUCAUGUUUUGGGGGCCAAACUUGAUACUCUGGGGUCUGAUUUGCUAAAGUGUGAUGAACAUGCACAACUGCAACCGAAGUUGAUAGGAGCAGUGCUUUGAGCAUAUAAAAUACUAAAUAAUGUAAUGUUAAGUACUUUAAGGGAAAAAAAAAUAGUCAGGCCCUUGACAUCUCAAGUUAGAACCCAACAUUGGUGGAAACUUUUGACCUUACUCUCUCUGUCUCAACUUCCCACAUGUAAACUAGAGAUAAUACCAUCCACUCACUGCACAGGGAUGUUGUGAAGAUAAAUUCAUGUUUGUGAAAAACUCAGAUACGAUAAUGAUAAAUGCCAUAGACCAGUGGUUUUCAAACUUGUUUUCUGGUGACACAGUUGAAGAAGAUUGAUGUGGCAAAGCAGGCAUGCUAAGGCAGGCUUCCUGCCUACCCUAGCACUGCAGACUGCGCUGCGCCCUGGAAGUGGCCAGCAGCAGAUCUGGCUCCUAGGCAGAGGCAUGCAAGCGGCUCUGUGAGGUU